ACCGGCGGCUCGAGUGGUGGCCACUAUUACUGGGCUUAAAGCGUCCGUAGCUUGGUUGUUAAGUCUCCUGGGAAAUCCUUCGGCUCAACCGGUAGGCGUCUCAGAGAUACUGGCAGGCUAGGGACCGGAAGAGGUGAGAGGUACUCCAGGGGUAGGAGUGAAAUCCUGUAAUCCUUGGGGGACCACCUGUGGCGAAGGCGUCUCACCAGGACGGCUCCGACAGUGAGGAACGAAAGCUGGGGGAGCAAACCG
rnacentral:rRNA from 1 species